rnacentral:rRNA from 1 species
UACAGAGGGGGCAAGCGUUGUUCGGAAUUACUGGGCGUAAAGGGCGCGUAGGCGGCCUUCUAAGUCGAACGUGAAAUCCCCGGGCUCAACCCGGGAACUGCGUCCGAUACUGGCAGGCUUGAAUCCGGGAGAGGGAUGCGGAAUUCCAGGUGUAGCGGUGAAAUGCGCAGAUAUCAGGAAGAACACCCGUGGCGAAGGCGGCUCUCUGGGACGGUACUGACGCUGAGACGCGAAAGCGUGGGGAGCGAACAGG